UUUCAGAAGCGAUAAUGGCUUGCGAAAAUAGUAAAGAAGAUUAUAUUCAGAAACAAAUGGGCAAGUGGCUAGCGAAUGCGCCUGUUCGCUUAUCCAGAAAUAGAACAAAGAAGGAAAAUUUGGAGGCGGCCAAAACUAAUUAACAUAAAAUAAUUUAACAAAAAAUAUUAAUUUAAUAUAAAAGUUUUAUAGUAUUGAGUUUAACAUUUAUAAAUUUUAUAGUGCUGUUUUUUGAAAAGUAAAUUUUAUUUAGACUCAUAACCUUAUUCGGACACGUAAUUGUAUUUUUAAUUUGUAUCGUACACAUUUACGUUACACAAUGUGAGAAUUAAGCUAUAUUGAUUAAGGAAAUAAAAUAAAUAAGUACACAUUUACGUUGCACAAUGUGAUAAUUAAGUUAUAUUGACUAAGGAAAUAAAAUAAAUAAGUAAAGUAAAA